rnacentral:rRNA from 1 species
UUGUUUAUAAAUAUUCGUUACCGUAGGAAUAAAAGUUGAAAUUAAAAUGGGUUGGCGGCGUGCUGUCUGAAUAGAGGAAUCUGAACAAGAGUCGACAGCCCACGAAUAGCUUAUCUAAUCUUAAUGUUUGUAUAUCUCCGUUGUAAGAAGAUUUUAGAAAAAUAUUUUCUUGAGUUUAUAGUAAAAUAUUAUGACAGGUCAAGGUGCAGCUUAUGGUUAGGUUGAUUUGGAUUACAAUUUUUUUUUGAUAAAAUUACGGACCUAAAUUUGGAAUUGCUUAGGGAAGGUGGAUUUGUUAGUAAUAGGAUUCUUGUGUGGUUCUAUGAAUAAGGAAUAGUAUGUGU